AGAAAGCAGACAGUACAGGAGGAAACGUUGAGAAAUCAUACUGCAGUCAGAGGAAACGAAACGACUCAAUGUCCAUUUACAGUCCACAAUAAAAAUCGGGUGUAACGUAAACCAGAACUCACCUUCAGAGCAGUGAAAGAUGUUGGGAAGGCGUUCCUGACUCCUCACACGGGUUCCUCUCGGAGGGGAAAGAGGGAAAGAAAAACACCUUGAAGAAUUAGCGAUGCUGAGAAAGAGUAAAACCCUGUGUCAGUUUCAGGGUUUCAGCGUGGUGGCAUUUUGCAGAUUGGAUUUGCAGUACAGAGCGCUGCGGAUGUGAGGCGAGGAGAUAUGAUCCUGACGAUCCAUCCGUCUCUGCACGCAUCUCUGCUUGCCUUUCGGACAUCUCAGUCUGGAUGAAGGAAAACCAUUUUAAGCUUAACCUGGCAAAAUCUGAGCUUCUCGUCAUCCCAGCCCGUCCCUCAAUCAACCACAACCUCACUGUACAGCUCGGCUCACUCACACUCAUGCCAACCAGGACAGCCAGGAACCUUGGGGUGAUUCUUGAUGACGGCUUGACCUUUGCAGACCAUAUCUCAGCAACUGCAAGGUCCUGUAGGUUCAUCCUUUACAACAUCAAGAAAAUCCGACCCUACAUCACCAAACAGGCUACACAGAUUCUAGUCCAGGCUCUUGUUAUCUCUAAACUGGACUACUGCAACUCACUGCUUUCAGGCCUCCCAGCCAGCUCCAUCAAACCCCUUGAGAUGAUUCAGAAUGCUGCAGCGCGCCUGGUCUUCAACUAGUCCAAGAGAACCCAUGUCACACCCCUCUUCAUCUCCCUCCACUGGCUUCCUGUUGCUGCCCGCAUUAAGUUCAAGGCCUUGAUGCUCACCUACAAGACCUUGUCAGGAACAGCACCCUCCUACCUCAACUCUCUCCUGAAGGCCUAUGUUCCCUCUCGCAAUCUGCGAUCGAUUAGCGACCGACGUUUAGCAGUUCCAACUCAGCGUGGCGCAAGGUCCCUUUCCAGAACCUUCACACUAACUGUUCCUCAGUGGUGGAAUGCACUUCCAAUCUCAAUCCGGACCACAGAAUCUCUCACCAUCUUCAAAAAACAGCUAAAGACCCACCUCUUCUAUGAACACCUAACCAACUCAUAAUAAAUAUAAUUUUUUUAAAAAUGCACUUACACCUCUACUCUGCACUUUGCUUCUUCUGGAAUUCAAUUAAUAUAUCUUGUAUGGUAGCACUUCUUGUAUUGUUCUCUGCUUGAUAUAUCGCUUUGCUUGUAUCUUUCUCAUUUGUAAGUCGCUUUGGAUAAAAGCGUCUGUUAAGUGAAUAAAUGUAAAUGUAAAUAAAUAUAUGUAUACUUGCAGUGACCAGUAUGAGGGAGUGUGAGAGCGAUGACACCAAAUUUAACACACCUGCUCCCCAUUCACACCUGAGACCUUGUAACACCAACAAGUCACAGGAAAAUGGCUAAUUGGGCCCACUUUGGACCUUUUCACUUAGGGGUGUACUCACUUUUGUUGCCAGCGGUUUAGACAUUAAUGGCUGUGUGUUGAGUUAUUUUGAGGGGACAGCAAAUUUACACUGUUACACAAGCUAUACACUCACUACUUUACAUUGUAGCAAAGUGCCAUUUCUUCAGUGUUGUCACAUGAAAAGAUAUCAUCAAAUAUUUACAAAAAUGUAAGCAGU